GAGGGUGUAGCUCAGUGGUAGAGCACAUGCUUAGCAAACACGAGGUCCUGGGUUCAGUCCCCAGCACUGCCA
rnacentral:tRNA from 1 species